rnacentral:rRNA from 1 species
CCCAUAAACCGUGGCUCAGUUCAGAUCGUAGGCUGCAACUCGCCUACGUGAAGGAGGAAUCGCUAGUAAUCGCAGGUCAGCAUACUGCGGUGAAUACGUUCCCGGGCCUUGUACACACCGCCCGUCACACCAUGGAAGUUGGCCACGCCCGAAGCCGUUACUCCAACCCUCGGGAGGAGGACGUCGAAGGUGGGGCUGAUGACUGGGGUGAAGUCGUAACAAGGUAUCCGUACCGGAAGGUGCGGAUGGAUCACCUCCUAA